rnacentral:lncRNA from 1 species
AAGCAUCUUCUUUUGAGUUCUUUCCUCACUCAACUACAAAGGCAAAAUUUGAUCUUGAAUGUGGAUUUCGGAGAAAUGCAAGAUAUUUUGGUUUAGCAUUCAACUGUUCCAAAGAAUGCAGAGAAGUAAUUGAAAAUGAAGGUGGGAUGGUGCAUGAGUGCAUCCAUUUCACGCCAUUUUAAGGAUGAUAUUGAAUGAUUCUUGUAGUUAUGAAUCCAAGAGUUCCAAACUGUGGCUUGAAGUGAGACUGUAAAGAUAAUUUCUUUCUGAUGCUCGACUACCCUUUUGUCAAUGCAGAAGUUUAUUAAUUAGUCUGUAAUGCAGUUAGCACAGCAUUGGGCAUAAAGCAUGAAACAAUUACCUGAGCAAGGUAUAUUGAUAUGUUAAAAGUCUGAAGAAAUCUUAAACAAACAACAGAAGCUCUUACAGGUACUUCAAGGGCAUCUUAAGAUCAAAGUUGUAUAUAUUAUAAGAAUGAUAUAGCUACAAUGUUUAAUUCAUUACUAACCAUCCAGUACAAAGAACUUCUUCUUUAUCUAUCUUACUUCCUAUUGGCGAUGGGAUUUGGACCACUUGGCACUUCAUGAUCACCAGCAUUGAAUACUCUCUUCUGCUUCCAUGACGACGACGACGAAGAUUGAUGAUGCUGAUUACUUGGACUACGACGAUUAUUAACAGAAGGAACAGGUACAGUAGUAUAAUUCAUUCUCAUUCCAAAUUUCCUCAUAUGGAAGUCCUCCAUACUGUUGUUACUUUCUUUUGUAGCAUCUGAUGAUGUAGUACGAAUGAUGAAAUGAGAACUUGAAUGCAGAAGUAACAACAUCACUAACCAUUGAAAAUGAACUAAACAAAUCAUUAUAUUGAUGAGUUCUUAGGAGGAAUAAACUUAUCUAUGCAUGACUACUCAAUUAGAAAGACUCAAAGAGUAGCAAAUAUGAGAGAGAAGAGUGAAGAGUGAACUGUGAAAGGGAAAGUCAUGAAGAGUACUGGAGACUGCUUUAAGCUUUUUUUUUUUUUUUUUUUCUUCUUGGGUUUUGGGUUUGGAGGUGGUGAUGAGAUUCUUGCAGCAGAAACCACAACAACAACUACAACAACUAGAGGGACAAAUAAAGUCAAAAUUUGUUUGACCCCAUAGUCAAGCAGGACAAAGGUAAGUAGUGGAGCCUAAAAAUAAGUGAAGAGCCAUAGAGAACAAGUCAAGAGAAUCUUGGCUCAUGCAUUUGCAAUCUUUAUAGGGACCAUUGUAGACUGUGGAUUUAGACCAGCAGAGCAGUUUCACAUUUCAUAGCUAGAGUCUUUUCAGGCAUUUUGUAUUGAUUGAAAGCAUACAAAAAAAUAUGAAAAUUUUGUGAUUGGAAACUUCCAAGUACCAAAAACCAAAAAUAGUAUGUGUGUGACAUAGAAAUUGGUAAGUUUGAGUCACAAGUAGUGACGUUUCAUUGUGUCCUAGUUCAAAAAAUCUUACUGUACUAUUGAUUACUAAAAAAGUAAAAAGAGAUUUAAUUCAAAUUCACAGCAGUAGUAAAGAUUUAUAUCUAUCUAGUAAAGUUUUUGUUCAAACAAGUCAACAAGUUAGGGACCAAAGUGUCCAAAAUAAACAAGUUUAGGUCUCAAUCUCAUAAAAGAGUUGGUUUAGUGUCCCACACGGUUUUGACCCAAGACUAACUAACAAGUAUGGCUUGACAGUUGACAUGAUAAGCAACUUGCCAACUAGGCUUGUUAGUUGUUAUGGACUGCGGACGGGUUAAUUAAAGCCUGAUGGGCUAAAAAGUAAAAACUCAUUUUUUGGCGGGCUUGAUUAAAAGGAUUUUGUUUAUAUUUUGGAUCGGGUUGGAAAUGUGGAUCUUGUAUAUUAGGCCCAAUUCAGGUUAAAUCACAACCGGAUCCAACUAGCCCAAGUUACAACCUUCAUAUUUUCUCCAGAAAAGGCAGAUAGGCAAUGUUAGAUUUAAACACAAAAAAAAAAAAAAUAGUUUACAUUUGAAACUGAAUUGUAGACAAUAUUCCUCAUUUCUGCAAGCGAUAUCGCGCUUAGACCAUCAUUUUAGCUCGAAAAGACCAUGUCUUAUGUCUAAUUAUUUUCAUGGCGGUGGUAAGUCUAAUAUCUCUACAAUUUUAGGUGUAUACUAUAUAACAUCGAUCAAAACACUAUUGGUGAGCAGAUGGUCUCAUAAAAUUUGAAACAAAAAAUGUCACUCUAUGUGAAGCCCAAUUUAAGAAAUAUGGAAUGACCCUAUGAUCCAUAAUCUUGACCUUAAACAAUUAUCAAGAUAAGAGCAUUCCCAAUGGUAAAUUUUAAGGGUGCCACAUAGGAGAGAUGAGAGAGGUUUUAGCAUCGAGUUAAUGGUAAAAGUGAUUUUUACUUUUAGACUUGCCAAUAGUUGAUUGUAAAAUAAGUUUUAAAAGAUUAAAUUUCAUUUUUCCCAAAAUCAUUGGUUAUAAAAUAUGAUAAAAUUUAAUUUUAAAUUAAUAAGUGAUCCUACAUGGCACUUUUAAGUCCUUGGCAAAUUUGCCAAGGAGUUAAAAAUGUUUAGCUUGAAAAUUGUGUUAAAAGUAACCAUUGGCAAGAGUUUUUAGUUAAAAGUUUCUAAAAGGGAUUUAAAACCAACCAUUGGGAAUGCUCUAAAUCAGGAAUAUUUGAACUAUGUAAAAACCAAAAGUCCUUUUGGUUUAGGAUAAGUGUUUGAAGGGUUUUCAGACUUGAGAAUGGGACAUAUUGAAUAACACGACAGUGAAAAGUUUCACUAGAUAUACCCUACUAGAAGAGUAGAAGGAAUAAAGAAAAGUUGCCUAAAAGCAUUGUUCAAUAAAUAAAGAGAGCUCAGCAGCAAACACCAGGAAAUUUCAUAUAACUUAGAUAGUGCAGAAAAGUAGAAAACUAUCUAAAGAAUCAGGUUCUUUUUUAAUCCUAGCAGUACAGUAGAUGUGCUUUCUUUUCUUCUCCACUUCCAUAAUGAUGAUGCCUACUUCAAAGCAGGCCAACAAU